rnacentral:rRNA from 1 species
AGUGAACGCUGGCGGUAGGCCUAACACAUGCAAGUCGAACGGCAGCACAGUAAGAGCUUGCUCUUACGGGUGGCGAGUGGCGGACGGGUGAGGAAUACAUCGGAAUCUACUUUUUCGUGGGGGAUAACGUAGGGAAACUUACGCUAGUACCGCAUACGACCUACGGGUGAAAGCAGGGGAGCUUCGGACCUUGCGCGAUUGAAUGAGGCGAUGUCGGAUUAGCUAGUUGGCGGGGUAAAGGCCCACCAAGGCGACGAUCCGUAGCUGGUCUGAGAGGAUGACCAGCCACACUGGGACUGAGACACGGCCCAGACUCCUACGGGAGGCAGCAGUGGGGAAUAUUGGACAAUGGGCGCAAGCCUGAUCCAGCCAUACCGCGUGGGUGAAGAAGGCCUUCGGGUUGUAAAGCCCUUUUGUUGGGAAAGAAAAGCAGCACGUUAAUACCCCGCUGUUAUGACGGUACCCAAAGAAUAAGCACCGGCUAACUUCGUG